GACAGAGGGUGCAAACGUUGUUCGGAAUUACUGGGCGUAAAGCGAGUGUAGGCGGUUUGGUAAGUCGGAUGUGAAAGCCCCGGGCUCAACCGGGAAGUGCACUCGAUACUGCCAAGCUAGAGUAUCGGAGAGGUUGGUGGAAUUCUCGGGUGUAGAGGUGAAAUUCGUAGAAUAUCGAGAGGAACACCGGUGGCGAAAGGCGGCCAACCUGGGACGGAAAUAACUGACCGCUGGAG
rnacentral:rRNA from 1 species